UUUAACACUAAAUUUCGUUAAAAUAUGAUUGCUAGUGCAUGUGAAGAGCAUUUAAUAGUUUGGUAACAUGGUAGAAAAACAGAGCACGGCAUUCAAUUGUUAGCUUAUUCUUUUUAUUUUUCUUUGGGAGCCUUUCACAAGUAUUGAAAUUGUUGACAUUUGAGAUUGAGAUGUUUGCUUUGGAUCUAGUUUUUUUUAUAUAGAGUUAGGACUUUGUUAUAUGUGUGUAUGCCUUUCUCUAUUUAGUUUCCUUUAUGUGAUAUGGGUAUAAUUUUUGUUAUAUAUAUAUAUAGUUAGUUUUCUCUUUUUGUUUGCACAUAAUAUGUUUGUUCAAAUGUCUCUAAAAGAUAGUUUGAAUGCCAAAUAAUUUUCUUUUGUUAGUUUGAAUGGAUUUUUUUUUUCAUGUUCUUUCUUUGAUGAUAAUGACUACCAUUGCUGAUUUAACAUAUAGAUUACAACACCUAAGGAUACUAUUUCAUAAUCUAAGAUUCUAGUUGGUGUGUAUUGUAUUAGGUUCUAAUCAUUACUUCAUUGAAACUCUUUUUUAUGCUUAAAGGUUGUGUGACUUAUGUCUUACUAUUUAGUGACGAUAUUUUGAACUAAACAAUUCGUGUAACGUAUACUCUAUGCUCACAGUUUGUUUGGACUUGAUUACAGGAGAUACAUUCAAAUAAUUCAGUUAUGGGCUGAGUUAGAGUUUUAGGUCACCAACUUAUAUAUAAAGUUUUCAAUUUCUUCUUCAAUUGUUAUGAGUUUUUGAGGAUUGAGGAUUUGAAAUUAACAAACUGCAGUAAGUGAUGGAGAAUUAAGUAAAUUUAAGAAGUUGCAGGACAUAUCUUCAUGGUUCAGUGAGACGACAUCAAGCUCGAUUGAAUUUAACCAUAGUGAAAGUUCACACUUGUUGAUGCUGAUAUAAGGUGUACGUUGAAAACUUUAUUUGUAUUUUACUGUGUUUCUCAACAAUAUAGCAUAUUAUUUAUUGAUAUAAUGUCCCUGUAAUGACUUGAAAAAUUUAGAUAGUUUCCAAUAAUGAGUGAUCAUCUUUUUUUUUAAUUAUUAUUUUUAUUCUCUAUACACCUAGUAUGGAUCUUUAUUGAAACAUAAUUAUGCAAGUGUUAAAGUAAGGAGUUUUUUUAUUUUAUUUAGUUUUUUACUUUGUUACUGAUGAUUUAAUGUAAUUAAUGGCUCUGUAAUGACUUGGCUUUAUUGGUUCAACAUGAACUUAGGUAAUAAAUAAAAAUUAUAGAGUAUAUGUCUUCUUCCUAGUCAUAACUUUCGUAAUCACUUAAUUAAUAUCCUGAAAAGAAAACGAACAUCGUGUCAAUUUUUAAUUAAUUUCUUUUUCUCUAGAGUUAAUUAUGAGAAAAUUUAAAAGUUCAUAAAUAUUGUUUAGUAAAAGAAAACGGUGUUGUUCUACUUUACUAAAGACUCACUACUCUGUUAGAUUGUAAUAACUCUAUAUACAGGUUCUUAAAUGCCUGAGAAAUCUAUCAUAUGUUGGUGUGGAGGAAUAAAAUAUGUGUGUAGGGUAUAUGGUGAUUAGUGGCUAGAGUAAGCUAUGGGUUAGUAGUGAUAGUUAUCUUACUGAUGGGAUAAAUAUGUAGAUAUAGUGGAGAAGUCAUACAUAAUGGGUUCUUUCAUUUAUGUUUAUUUACACUUUGAUUUUUCUUACACUCAUAUUUACCCUACAUAAAUAUUGUAAUCAUGAUAUAACUAAUUAUUUGUUAUAUUUCAGUUAAACAUCAGUUAAGUUGGUUUUUCUUGAAGUCAAAGAUCUUGGCUGAGCUGUCCAAGUCUUUGGAGACCUAUAUAUAUAUGUGUCUCAUGUUUUAGAAUUAAGAUAGAAGAAAAAGAGAGAAAACUGAGAAGAGUGCUUUGAUUUUCAAGUGGAAGAGAUUUUUCAAGAGGAACUGGUACAGAAGGUUUCGGCUCAGAGGAUUCCUAGGAGAGUUGAGUGAAUUCUUGUAUGAGUGUGUGAGGAAAUCUUUGUAUUGUGUGAGGGGUUCAUUCUCGAGUGAAAAUCAGAGUGUUUAGAGAGUGAGAUCAGCCUAGUGAUCUACUCGUUUUCUUGUACUGAAAUGAUUAGUGUAUUCUGAUCAAUUUGGAGCUUGUGUAACCUUGGUGAAACAACUGUCAAAGACUAAUAAAACUCUUGGGGAAAGCUGGAUGUAGGCUAACUAUUUUGUUAGCUGAACCAGGAUAAAGAUUUGGUGUUCUUCCUUAUUACUCUUAUUUGUUUAUCAUAUGUUUUGUAUUUAAAUCUUGAAAUAUUAGUUCUGUUUUGGACAUAAGUUUAAGAUAACAUAAACUUAGAAUAGAUAUUUGUUUAGUUUUGAUCUUCACCUUAAACUCUGGUUUCUUCCUACAAAAGCUAUUCAUAAUAGCUAUAGAGUCUUUUAUUACUACUGAUUUCUAUAAUUUUUAAGUGGGUGUGGACGAAUAAAAUAUGCGUAUGUAUAUGAUAUGGGUUGUGAUAACUAUCAUUAUUAAUAAUUAUUAUAUUAUUCAUGGUACAACCAUAAAGAUGGUGGAGAAGAGUAUAACGUAAUGGGCUUUUUUAUUUUUAUUAUUUUAUUUGGAAAAUGACUCUUAUUUAUGCUUGUUUUUUCUUAAACUUUGAUUUUUCUUACACCACCAUAAAGCAUUAAGACUAAAUUGCUCUGAGAGAGUUAAUGAUGUAUUUUUAUAUGGUUAAUUUUAUGUGAGGACGAAAGCAUGCACUGUAUAUGUGAAGGAACUGAAAUUAAAUACAGGUUUGGAAUUUCUAGAAUGCUGAAUUGUUUAAGAAAGGUUGAUGUAACAGAACUUAUAAGCUAAUAAAAGAUUUAUCUACAUGAGCUAUUAAGUUGUCACUUUUUAUUUAUUAGUUACGUUGGUUCUAAUAAUAUUUUGGGCUGCAUGAUUAUUCUCAAAUGUUUUAGCUGGUAUAUAUAUAUAUAUAUAUAUAUGUAUACACACUAAAUGGUGUACCAUCAAAUUUACCUAUAGCUUAAAAGUUGUUUGAUUCAAUUUACAAUUAAGCCAAAUAUCUUAGAAUAAGUUUCUUAUGUGCUUACCUAAUUAGUCGUUUCUAUAGUAGUAGGCUACAACUAUUUACAUAAACAUUUUUUAUGCGUGUAAAAAAAAAAAUAAGUAUGGCUUAUCAAUCUUAAAACUAGUAACUCUAUACUAAUGUGAUGUCAUUGUGCAUUUUUAGAGAAACUCGAGAAGGAAAACCAAAUAGCAGAGCAACUCUAAAGAAGAAUACUAAUUCUAAGGUCUAACUUAUUCAAAACAAAAAUAAGAAAAACAAAUAGAUUAUCUUCUUUGUAGUGACAUCUGCUUCUUUAGCUUUGAGUUAGGAAUAUAUAUAUAUAUAUAUAUACAUAUAUAUAUAAUUUGUUGUGCCAUCUGCAUGUUUAGCAUUUUUUUUUCUAAUCAUGAGCUUUAUUUAGAAUAUUAUCAAUGAAAUGUUCUAUUUUGGAGUCAUCUCAACUCUUACAUAUGUGCCAAGUAUUCUAAUAUUGAUUUUGCUAAGAGCUUUCAAUUUUUGAAAACUAUAAUUUCUGAUAGACAUUUUAAAUGCCAUAUUUUACAUUAUAUAAUUACUACCAUUGAAUUGUUUGGCUUAAUAUUUUUUGGAGCUUUGCAAUACUUUCUCACAAGGGAUAAUCUUGCUGGAUGACUAAGUCUUCUCUUGCCUAAAUAUUGGCUCUUUGUGUUGUUGCAAGUCAGAGAUGAAAGCUCAUGGACAGCACCUCUAGCAGUACUUUUACGGCAUCAACAGUAAUUUGUUGGUUCAUUAUAUGCUUGGAUUUGUCUUAAACAUGAUUCUUAUGCAUAGAACCAAGACUGUAUGCUAGAUUCUACAAGCAAAAUGUAAACCAAGAUUUGAUAGUGAUGAAUUUGAAGAAUAUGUUUUGCUAA